GGGAAUGUGGCUUAGUGGUAGAGUGCUUGCCUAUUAUGCAUAAAGCCCUGGGUUCAAUUCCUCAGUACCA
rnacentral:tRNA from 1 species